rnacentral:rRNA from 1 species
GGGGAGCCGAAGGGAAACCGAGUCUUAACUGGGCGUUAAGUUGCAGGGUAUAGACCCGAAACCCGGUGAUCUAGCCAUGGGCAGGUUGAAGGUUGGGUAACACUAACUGGAGGACCGAACCGACUAAUGUUGAAAAAUUAGCGGAUGACUUGUGGCUGGGGGUGAAAGGCCAAUCAAACCGGGAGAUAGCUGGUUCUCCCCGAAAGCUAUUUAGGUAGCGCCUCGUGAAUUCAUCUCCGGGGGUAGAGCACUGUUUCGGCAAGGGGGUCAUCCCGACUUACCAACCCGAUGCAAACUGCGAAUACCGGAGAAUGUUAUCACGGGAGACACACGGCGGGUGCUAACGUCCGUCGUGAAGAGGGAAACAACCCAGACCGCCAGCUAAGGUCCCAAAGUCAUGGUUAAGUGGGAAACGAUGUGGGAAGGCCCAGACAGCCAGGAUGUUGGCUUAGAAGCAGCCAUCAUUUAAAGAAAGCGUAAUAGCUCACUGGUCGAGUCGGCCUGCGCGGAAGAUGUAACGGGGCUAAACCAUG